GGAGUUUGGACCGUGUCUCAGUUCCAAUGUGGCCGAUCACCCUCUCAGGUCGGCUACUGAUCGUCGCCUUGGUGGGCCGUUACCCCACCAACUAACUAAUCAGACGCAGGUCCAUCCUGUACCGAUAAAAUCUUUGACCGCUUCACCAUGUGAUGCUGCGGUGUCAUAAGGUAUUAAUCACCGUUUCCAGUGGCUAUCCCUUUGUACAGGGCAGGUUACCUACGCGUUACUCACCCGUCCGCCGCUUUCCAUCCAUUCAGGCAUCCGAAGAAUUCGUCAUGGAUAUCUCGCUCGACUUGCAUGUGUUAGGCACGCCGCCAGCGUUCAUC
rnacentral:rRNA from 1 species